CGCGGGAGCAAUCCUGGCGGCGAGUGGCGAACGGGUGAGUAAUACAUCGGAACGUGCCCAAUCGUGGGGGAUAACGCAGCGAAAGCUGUGCUAAUACCGCAUACGAUCUACGGAUGAAAGCAGGGGAUCGCAAGACCUUGCGCGAAUGGAGCGGCCGAUGGCAGAUUAGGUAGUUGGUGAGGUAAAGGCUCACCAAGCCUUCGAUCUGUAGCUGGUCUGAGAGGACGACCAGCCACACUGGGACUGAGACACGGCCCAGACUCCUACGGGAGGCAGCAGUGGGGAAUUUUGGACAAUGGGCGCAAGCCUGAUCCAGCCAUGCCGCGUGCAGGAUGAAGGCCUUCGGGUUGUAAACUGCUUUUGUACGGAACGAAACGGCCUUUUCUAAUAAAGAAGGCUAAUGACGGUACCGUAAGAAUAAGCACCGGCUAACUACGUGCCAGCAGCCGCGGUAAUACGUAGGGUGCAAGCGUUAAUCGGAAUUACUGGGCGUAAAGCGUGCGCAGGCGGUUAUGUAAGACAGUUGUGAAAUCCCCGGGCUCAACCUGGGAACUGCAUCUGUGACUGCAUAGCUAGAGUACGGUAGAGGGGGAUGGAAUUCCGCGUGUAGCAGUGAAAUGCGUAGAUAUGCGGAGGAACACCGAUGGCGAANGCNAUCCCCUGGACCUGUACUGACGCUCAUGCACGAAGGCGUGGGAGCAAACAGGAUUAGAUACCCUGGUAGUCCACGCCCUAAACGAUGUCAACUGGUUGUUGGGAUUCACUUUCUCAGUAACGAAGCUAACGGCGUGAAGUUGACCGCCUGGGGAGUACGGCCGCAAGGUUGANACUCAAAGGAAUUGACGGGGACCCGCACAAGCGGUGGAUGAUGUGGUUUAAUUCGAUGCAACGCGAAAAACCUUACCCACCUUUGACAUGUACGGAAUUCGCCAGAGAUGGCUUAGUGCUCGAAAGAGAACCGUAACACAGGUGCUGCAUGGCUGUCGUCAGCUCGUGUCGUGAGAUGUUGGGUUAAGUCCCGCAACGAGCGCAACCCUUGUCAUUAGUUGCUACAUUUAGUUGGGCACUCUAAUGAGACUGCCGGUGACAAACCGGAGGAAGGUGGGGAUGACGUCAAGUCCUCAUGGCCCUUAUAGGUGGGGCUACACACGUCAUACAAUGGCUGGUACAAAGGGUUGCCAACCCGCGAGGGGGAGCUAAUCCCAUAAAACCAGUCGUAGUCCGGAUCGCAGUCUGCAACUCGACUGCGUGAAGUCGGAAUCGCUAGUAAUCGUGGAUCAGAAUGUCACGGUGAAUACGUUCCCGGGUCUUGUACACACCGCCCGUCACACCAUGGGAGCGGGUUCUGCCAGAAGUAGUUAGCUUAACCNACAAGGAGGGCGAUUACUCACGGCACGUCG
rnacentral:rRNA from 1 species